GACGAACGCUGGCGGCGUGCCUAAUACAUGCAAGUCGAGCGAGCGGAACUAACAGAUUUACUUCGGUAAUGACGUUAGGAAAGCGAGCGGCGGAUGGGUGAGUAACACGUGGGGAACCUGCCCCAUAGUCUGGGAUACCACUUGGAAACAGGUGCUAAUACCGGAUAAGAAAGCAGAUCGCAUGAUCAGCUUUUAAAAGGCGGCGUAAGCUGUCGCUAUGGGAUGGCCCCGCGGUGCAUUAGCUAGUUGGUAAGGUAAAGGCUUACCAAGGCGAUGAUGCAUAGCCGAGUUGAGAGACUGAUCGGCCACAUUGGGACUGAGACACGGCCCAAACUCCUACGGGAGGCAGCAGUAGGGAAUCUUCCACAAUGGACGCAAGUCUGAUGGAGCAACGCCGCGUGAGCGAAGAAGGUUUUCGGAUCGUAAAGCUCUGUUGUUGGGAAGAAGGAUAGAGGUAGUAA
rnacentral:rRNA from 1 species